CUCAUUUUUCUACUGCUCGUGGUAAGUGGCUUCGUGGUCUUUAUAGCUGUUACUCUUUUGUACUUUGUCUUUUUCUUUUAUUUUCUUUUGAGCGAUUGUGCGAACAUAGCAUAGCACGCACUAUGCCUUCUGUGUUGUAGCUGCCUGGCCAGGGCGACUGGCGGAUAAGGUCUUGUGCGUGGCCUCGAGGCUUAAAAGUAGCAGUGGGGCUUUGUGAAGGACAAAAUGGCGAUGGCGGGCCGUGUAGGUCCCCCUUCCUAUGAUGAGGACCUUUUCACAGACCUGUACUGAGCUCCGUGAGGAUAAAUAACUCUGAGGAGAUGGGCCCUGCAAGCCUCUUGCUUAGCCGUCUGUUCAGAAAAUAGCGUUUUCGAAAUGCCCUGAGUUGACCUAAUGUCUUAUUGGGCUCCUGUCUGCAGGAUUUACGCGCACGUUGGAACCGAAGAGAGCUCUGUUGUUGCAAUGUUCAGCCCACAAGAGCUUACUGGUGAAGGAAUGGGACAAGACCCAUCUUUAUGCAAAGCCAGCGUUACAGUAAUGUUCCAGCAUCUCAUAAUCUAUCCUGGGGAAUUCAGCUGCCUCCCAGGGUGAAUACAGGUAUUCCUGAUGACAGUCUGCCUCUAUCUUACAGAGCAGCUUGUUGCUAUAUACCAUUGAAAAGCCUUCAGAGCUGAGAGGUACUACUAACCAAUAACCUGCUUGGCUCAAAGGGCCAGCACCUUCUCUCUAAAGCCCAAGAGGAGUUUGAGGAAAACUAGGUGUCUGUGUUCACUCCAGGCUGAAGUUACAGGUCUGAGCAAAUAAGGUGUAUAAAAAAUGGAAUCUGUCUUGGAGGACAUCAGAAGAUACAAGGGCUUGGUUUUGUUACCCAGGCUGGUUUCAAGGCCAUAGCUUUAAGAGAUCCUCUCACCACAGAUUUCCAAAGUGCUGGGAUUGCAGGUGUGAUUCAUGGCACCCAGACUUUGCUGCCUUUCUUACAUGAUCCAGGCCCAGAACCCAAACUCAGGCACUGUAUAGAUGACCACUUUCGUAAACUACUGACCUAGCUUGUUGCCAAUUGUUGAUUGAACUUCCCAUAACUCCACUUCGUGUCUGUUCCUCUGUAUACAGCCACCUUCUGUUCCCGUCAUGAGCCUUUAGGUCUCCAUUUGCAUAUUGCAAAUACUAUGUUCCAUGUAGGUAGCUCAUUCAGGGCCUUGCUCUUCACUUCAAAAAAGGUUCCCUUGAGGACUGGCUGUCAAUUUGUGUUGCUGUGUUGGUUGUUGAUGAAAAUAAUAAAAUGAUUGAUUACAUAGUCCUGUUUAAAAAAAAAAAAA
rnacentral:lncRNA from 1 species